rnacentral:ribozyme from 1 species
UGUCCAGCAACUCCUAUCCCCACCUCCGCGUGGUACCGGCUGGAAACUACGAGCAACCUUAGGGAAGA